GUCCAAGGUAGACUAAUUACAUAGCAUCUGCCCGGUAAGCGGAACACUGUGGGUUCGAUUCCCAUCCCUGGACA